CAUCGUGGCCUGCGGCGUAUGAGAAAUCAUUACUGUGAAGGAAUCCUUGCCAAGACUUGGAGAGUGUCUGACCCGCAGAGAAAUCUCAUGGAGGAUCCAAAGCAGUGACUGGCAAUCGUGAGAGCUGCAUAGAGAAGGGUAAGCAAGGUAAUUUGCCCUGCAUCCUGCUCUGAGAUGCUGGAGAAGACCUAAUCUUUACCUUACAAUAGAGGGUCCAGUUCCUGUUUUUGUUUUAGGAGUCUGAGACUGCUCUAUGAUACUGAGUUUCCGUAUACAGAUGAUAGGAGAGCGUGCCAGGCUUCAUCCGGACGUGACACGUGCCCUCAAACCUCAGACUAGAAAGGAUGGGACGCAUCGUGUGCGGUGAGGUACAGAUGCGAGCAGGUGGCUAUUGCCGAAGGGCAGACACAGCCAGUUGAUGCAGGUGCGCCUGGUAGGCUGUUGGCUGCAGUAAGCAAUAGCUUGGGUGUGAAGGUGACACAAGGCUUUUUCCAGAAUGUGGUUUGUUUUUACCAGGCCCUCUGCAAAGAGUGGUUAGCUUGUCCUUUUCCCAUCACCUCGCUUUAUGCUGUGUGCUAACGUGAAAUGACGAGCUUGUCUCCCUCCCUUCUCCCCAUCAGGGCCACGAGCGCUGAGAUCCGCGUUGACACAUGCACACUCACCCGCAGUAAGGGAGCUCCUGCUGCUGCAGAGUGAGGCUCUUCCUACACAAGUAAUGACUCCAGAUAAGGCCUCUGUAAGAAGCUGUCCCUUCAGGACUGGCAGGGAGCUUUCUGAAGGGAACCUUCCAACAGAGAAGGAGCAGAGCUGCAUGCAACUUUGAAAGUUAUUUUGAGGCAGUUUCUGCAAAGUAAGAGUUUAUUUAAGAAGUACGGGCCUCUUAGAUAGGUUUUGCUCUGCUUAUGUGAGAUACCUUCUCCUUUUCACUAGGUGGCAGCAAGAAGAUGGCUGUAAGCAUCGGGAGGAUUUUUUUUAUUACAGUAAGCAGAGAGUUUACAACUGGUUUCCUGUCUGAAUGGGUUUCCCUUGAGCAAUCCCCAUACCCGUACAAUCCUCAACCAGAAAAACAACUCACAGCAAGUCUGUCAAGAGCACUGGCACAGAUGCCUGAAACAUCUCUCUUCCAGACAGGAGAGGACAGACUCUGCAGAGCUACAGGAGUCGCUGCAUGUUUCAGCACAGAAGCCCCCUCAGACCUUCAGCACUCGGAUUAGAUUUUUGUUAUGCCAGCCAGCAAUGAACAGAGGACCCUUGGCUUUGGCUACAUCUCUAUGUAUUUGCUGAAGACCCCUCAUCAUUGCCUCUGCUAAGCUAAGGGACAUGCUUGGAAAUCCAUUGAGCCCUGUGGAAAGAGGAGAGAGCAAACGUUUUUGGAGAGAAUUUAAAUACAGAGCUAUGCAGAGCUAUAUGAAACCAUUACUAAAGAGAAAAGAGAGAGUGAAGAGGACCCCAGCUACCUUUGCAGAGCCCAAGCAAAAAUAUUGCUUUCCUUUGCUGAAAUCAAAGCAAAAAUGCUAAGCACAGCCCCUUUUUAAGCUAGAAGGAAGUCUCAAAGCCUGCCUCCUUCCCGCCUUCACGCUAGCUGCCACAGAGCAACUCUUACAACGUGACUGUGCCUUCUGGUAACACGCCACAGCUGGGCCAGCAGCUGGGAACCCUUUCUUUGCCAGAGCAAAGGAGGAAGCCCAUCUAGGGCCCUCUCCUGGUGCAGAGGGCUGCAUGACAGCAGCAUGCUGGUGCUUAGUUUGCCAAGAACAAAGUAUUGACAGAUGCAAUAGCAGGCAGAGGAAGGGGAUGGGCUGACUGCUCAGAGCUGUAUGACUGCAUGGUUACGGCAUGGCUAGUGGGAUAUGCAGGGUGAAUAGCGGUGCAUUGUCAGGUUGGUGCAGCCUCGGAAUUAUGGGUCUUUGUUCUGUGCUCAGAGGUAAUACCAAGGGCCUGUUGCCAUAUCCUCACCUCUCAGUGGCGUUGAGGGAGAUGCAUGGGACUCCGUUGCUGAACACUGGUAAAGACAUUGGCCAGACAUACGCC
rnacentral:lncRNA from 1 species